CCGCCCUGGAGAGUACGCACGCAAGUGUGAAACUCAAAAGGAAAUUGACGGGGGCCCGCACAUAGCGGUGGAGUAUGUGGUUUAAAUUCGAUGCAUACGCGAAAGAAACCCUUACCAGGGUUUGACAUCCUGCGAAUCUCUUGGAUAACAGGAGAGUGCCUUCGGGAACGCAGUGACAGGUGGUGCAUGGCUGUCGUCAGCUCGUGUCGUGAGAUGUUGGGUUAAGUCCCGCAACGAGCGCAACCCACGUCUUUAGUUGCCAGCAUUUAGUUGGGCACUCUAGAGAGACUGCCGGUGAUAAACCGGAGGAAGGUGUGGAUGACGUCAAGUCAUCAUGCCCCUUACAUCCUGGGCUACACACGUACUACAAUGCUACGGACAAAGGGCAGCAAGUUCGCGAGGACAAGCAAAUCCCAUAAACCGUGGCUCAGUUCAGAUCGUAGGCUGCAACUCGCCUACGUGAAGGCGGAAUCGCUAGUAAUCGCAGGUCAGCAUACUGCGGUGAAUACGUUCCCGGGCCUUGUACACACCGCCCGUCACACCAUGGAAGUUGGCCACGCCCGAAGCCGUUACUCCAACCCUUGUGGAGGAGGACGUCGAAGGUGGGGCUGAUGACUGGGGUGAAGUCGUAACAAGGUAACCAAGGGCGAAUUCGCG
rnacentral:rRNA from 1 species